rnacentral:ribozyme from 1 species
CUACGGACUUAAUUGGAUUGAGCCUUGGUAUGGAAACUUACUAAGUGAUCACUUUCAAAUUCAGAGAAACCCUGGAACUAACAAAAAUGGGCAAUCCUGAGCCAAAUUUUGUUUUCUGAAAACAAACAAAGGUUCAGAAAAAAAGGAUAGGUGCAGAGACUCAAUGGAAGCUAUUCUAA